ensembl:lncRNA
AAAUAGUCUUGUCCAUGUGGACAUUGGUGCCCAAAUGAGAAAAAUAGUGUAUAUAUCCCGACCACUUAAAAGUCAUGCUUUUUCUGAGAGAACCUCUGAGCUCGAAAGACUGUGAAAUAGUAUGUCUGCCUGUACCAGAAUCUUUCCUGAGUAGAGAAUUUCAUCAGGAAGGAAGAGGCCCAGAGCAUGCACAUAUGUUGAACUCUUGAAGGGCACCCAGUUUGAAAGAGAACAUCAAAGGCCUGAAUCACUGUGAAACAUGCUGUCUGCAAGUACUAGAACACUUCCUGAGAGCAAGGGACACUGCCAAACCACUAGAGCAAAAGUUAUGAUGGAUAAAGAGACAGGUGUUCUGGUGACCUGUAACCCCAUCAGGAGCCCUGAGGGUCACCUCCUGCUAAACCAAACAUAACCUUUAUCAGUGAAGGUCACUCCUGAGAAACCCUGUUGAGAAACCCUGCAGACAGGAAAGCCAAGGAGGCCUCCUCCUUCCCAUUGUCAUUGUCUUUUAAGGGAGCUUGAACAGGUUGGCUCCUACAGACUUCUUAAAAAGCCUGGAACACUCUGCUAAUUCUGUGUUCCCGUACUCUUCAACUGAGUCAAGAGAAGAAAACAGAUAUUUGGAACUCUGAUCCAAUCAAAUUAAUAUUCUGGUGAUCAGAAGCCAAGACUGUACAGAGAUUUCUGAGGCCUCUCCAGGAAUUCUGUCCAGAAUCACGCUCUGGAGGACUUCAGUGUGCGAGAAUGUACAGUACAUUGGAUGGACUCUGGGGUCUAAGGAAUGAAGUUUGUCCUCAUUAGGACAAAAAGAUACAAGAGGAACGCCCGAGUACAUAUAGAACACAGGGUGCCAUGAUGUGGAGCCCGAAGACAAGGGAGGCUGCUGAACACUCUAAUGCCUGUAUGAGUGAACUUGGACAUGAACAGUGUAGCUGGAUCUGUUUGCCUUCAGUUCAAGCUGCAAUGUUGUCACCAUCUCCUCUUUAAGCCCAUGUAUCCUUGACAAGGUUGUUCUGCCCUUCAAGCUCAUAUGAUGGUUGUGCAUGUAGGAGACCUAGCCUUCUGUCACCAAGGAAACAGAAAGCAGAGGAGGAAUGUGACCGUGGGAGGCUGCAGGCAAAAGUGAUGUGGGGCCACAACUGUACCUGGAAGCUACAUGGUACAAUCCCUGAGGCCCUGUUCAGACCUUCAUUCUAUUCUGGUGUCUUCCUAGUGACAGCCCUGCUAGCCAAUGACAACAACUUCUCCCUGAUCUUCCCCAGCCUUGCUUCCCAGUCCUGAGACUUGAAGAGCACAGAGGAAGGCCUCUUGUAGGUCAGUCACUGGCUCUGGACCAUUGACCACUACCACUGCUUUUACUUGGGAUGGUGUUCAAAUUGUGGGAUGUCUGAGAAAGCUGGGUUCCACGUUUUUGCUAUGCAACCUGUUCCUCACGUCCUGGACUUUGCCGGCUCCAGUCCUCAGUUGCCAUUCAGUAAGCAUUGUGACGUGUAAGGCUCUCAGGAGAAGCCAGAUCCCAGUGGCAUUAGUGUGACAAACAAGCUGUGCCCAAGGAGCUGACACUCUGGCAGAGUCCAGGACAUCCAGGAAGACAGAGGUGGUGAGAUAUCACCAACUAUGACUCUGACAUCCAAUGAAGCAGUCGAGGGCCAUGAUGCUUUUCUGACUGAGGCAACACAGCCUGGAGCCCAAAUCCCGAGGCUGUGCACCAAAGUCCUUCCGUUUGUCACUGAUCCUGGUGCUUUCCCACAAGAAGUUGCUCAAUGUGGCUACCAGGGAGGCCAAACAUAAGCCUGUGUCUGCAGACAGGAGGGCACCAACAAUGUGUCAAGCAACCUCAUCUGCAUCGUCACAAGCAUCUGCAGUGUGGAUAUCUGGUCAACAUGGUCGUUUGACAGUUGUGGAGCCCCUCCCACCAAUAAAGCUUUUGUAGGUGAAGAACCUGAAGGAUCUGAGGCUGUGCCAGUACAUGCUGGAGAAAUACUUGACUGGACUCGGGAGUAGGAGCCUAGGCAUUGGCCCACAGAUGUGCUGUUCUCCUUCUUUGGAUACCCGUCGCAACAACACAAUCUUCUCUGUCUACUGGAGUUGUCUUGGUUGUAGAUUUGGAGAUCCUCAAUCUCUCAGCUUAGUUCUCUAACGUUAAGUCAUAUCGACUCUUAGCAUAGUACUUUAUUUGCCACUGUUCUUUCUACCUUUAUUUUGCCAGAACUUUCUAUGGGUAAGACAUUCCUUCUGUAACAUUUUAUGAUGUGUAAGACCACACAAGGGUACCCAGAGCCCAUACACAAUGUGCUCUUAUUAUCCUGUGAGAAGUCCAAGCCAGUAACCCAAUCUUAACUCAGUGGUGAGAAGGAACCUAAAACUCAGAACAGGACUUGUUUUCAUUCCUUUCUUGUUAGUAUCAUUCACAACUUCUGUAGAAGGUGGGAGUCCAGAAAGCAAAGGGCGGGAUUUUCUCACAUGAUCUUGACCCAUGUUGGGUUUUCUGUCUUCCAUCUCCACCUUUAACAUUUAAUAUACCACAUCUCUCCAAAGGUCAUGCCUAUUCUAGUGUGCUGCACUCAGUGAAGAAGUUGGAGUAAGCGUCAAAAGAGUGAAGGCCAAGCUCUGACUGUGACAGAGAGUUUGAGAUAGACAACUGAUGCUUUGAAAAACACUUGACUUCUCGCUGGGACCUCCAUCUACUGUAAAUAACCAACAACCUGUUCAAGGAUCAAUGUGCCUCUGAGAUGAGGACAACAAGGUAGAAGGGAGUCCACAGAAGGAAACGGGUCUGAGGGCUAACACCAUAACGCUUCCAAUUCUGUCUUCUAGGCAUCACUAACAAAUCUAUAUAGUCCUACCUCCCAGAAGAUGAGUGAAGGUGUUACAGUUAGGAUGAUUGUUGACAUGAGGCUCUCAGAGGUUCUCCACAAAUCUGAAGGACAAGAUUGAGAUUGCCAUUCUUAUGGUCUUUCCAUAGUCUCCCCUUGCAAUCAGAAUGGACCAUCACUAUGGACCUCAUCUAUUAGAUGCAGGUUGUCUAGCAAGCCUCUGGACAGGCAGCAUGGCAGAAAUCAACUCUUUCCAAAAAAAAGGCUGCUGCUGACACAGUGGAUAGAGCACACACAAGCUCCCUGUCUGACUCCUUCAGCUCCUGCAUGUCUCCUUGGCUAACAUUUCAGAGCUUCUGAUUCUUCAGACAUCAGCUUCUUGAUACUGAAGAGAUUGUUCUACCUGAUGAGCCCAGGCCUAGAAGAUGGACUGCAUCCAAGAAGCCUG